rnacentral:rRNA from 1 species
AACGAACGCUGGCGGCAGGCUUAACACAUGCAAGUCGAACGCACCGCAAGGUGAGUGGCGCACGGGUGAGUAACACGUGGGAAUGUACCCUUUGGUUCGGAAUAACGUCUGGAAACGGACGCUAAUACCGGAUGAGCCCUGCGGGGGAAAGAUUUAUCGCCAGAGGAGCAGCCCGCGUCUGAUUAGCUAGUUGGUGGGGUAAAGGCCUACCAAGGCGACGAUCAGUAGCUGGUCUGAGAGGAUGAUCAGCCACACUGGGACUGAGACACGGCCCAGACUCCUACGGGAGGCAGCAGUGGGGAAUAUUGGACAAUGGGCGAAAGCCUGAUCCAGCCAUGCCGCGUGAGUGAUGAAGGCCUUCGGGUUGUAAAGCUCUUUCGCACGCGACGAUGAUGACGGUAGCGUGAGAAGAAGCCCCGGCUAACUUCGUGCCAGCAGCCGCCGUAAAAC